UAAUUUUCAGUGUAUAAACUUUUCACCUCUUUGGUUAAGCUUAUUCUUAGGUAUUUCAUGGAUUUUGGUAUAAUUGUAAAUUGGAUCAGUUCCUUGAUAUCUCUUUCUGCUGCUUCUUUAUUGGUGUAGAAAUUCAAAUGAUUUCUGUACAUUG